rnacentral:rRNA from 1 species
GAAUUCGAUUCAGGCCUAACACAUGCAAGUCGAGGGGCAGCACAAGAGGUAGCAAUACUGAGGGUGGCGACCGGCGCACGGGUGAGUAACACGUAUGCAACCUGCCUGUAAUCGGGGGAUAACCCGGAGAAAUCCGGACUAAUACCGCAUAACACUGCGUAACUGCAUGGUUAUAUAGUUAAACAUUUAUGGAUUACAGAUGGGCAUGCGUAUGAUUAGCUAGUUGGUGGGGUAAAGGCUCACCAAGGCGACGAUCAUUAGGGGUUCUGAGAGGAAGGUCCCCCACACUGGUAGUGAGACACGGACCAGACUCCUACGGGAGGCAGCAGUGAGGAAUAUUGGUCAAUGGACGAGAGUC